rnacentral:rRNA from 1 species
CAGUAGCCACGGUAAUACAGAGGGUGCGAGCGUUAAUCGGAUUUACUGGGCGUAAAGCGUGCGUAGGCGGCUUUUUAAGUCGGAUGUGAAAUCCAUGAGCUUAACUUAGGAAUUGCAUUCGAUACUGGGAAGCUAGAGUAUGGGAGAGGAUGGUAGAAUUCCAGGUGUAGCGGUGAAAUGCGUAGAGAUCUGGAGGAAUACCGAUGGCGAAGGCAGCCAUCUGGCCUAAUACUGACGCUGAGGUACGAAAGCAUGGGGAGCAAACAGGAUUAGAUACCCGUGUAGUCCCUGUCUCUUAUAA